rnacentral:rRNA from 1 species
UACGUAGGGUGCUAGCGUUGUCCGGAUUUAUUGGGCGUAAAGGGCUCGUAGGCGGCGUGCCGCGUCGGGAGUGAAAGCCCGCUGCUUAACGGCGGGUUGGCUUCCGGUACGGGCAUCGCUGGAGUGCGGCAGGGGAGACUGGAAUUCCUGGUGUAGCGGUGGAAUGCGCAGAUAUCAGGAGGAACACCGGUGGCGAAGGCGGGUCUCUGGGCCGUUACUGACGCUGAGGAGCGAAAGCGUGGGGAGCGAACAGG